rnacentral:rRNA from 1 species
GUAGAAGACGAGUUUGAUAGACAGCGGGUGUAAGCACCGAGGUUCGCCGAGGUGUUCAGCCCAGCUGCACUAACCCCCCGAGCAUCUAAAUUU